UUUGACUGUCAGACCACCCUAAACAUGCCCAAGCGCAUCUGAUCUCAAAAGCUAAGCAGGGUUGGGCCUGGUUAGUACUUGAAUGGGAGAAUUUUUGUUUCAUAA
rnacentral:rRNA from 1 species